CUAAAACUUUCCAAUGUCGAAUUUUACUUUUAUUUAAAUUUUAGAAAGGAAAGCCUUAUUGAUAAGUCUGUAUUUUGAAAAUGGCUAUUGCAUCUAAAAUGAUUCUCCAUGUUGCCCCCCCCUCCCAUGAAUUUCUCUUUUUGAGAAACACUUAAACAUUCAAAAUAAAGCCUCGAGGUUGCUAAGGACUGAGCUUGGCAUCACACAUGCAGACUGUGUCUACAGGGCCGUUGAACGCCCUUUUCCUCCCAGGUGCUGAUGAAAGACUUGCAUUUCCUGGAGAGGAAUGGGGGGGGGGUGACUGCAUCACCAGCAAAAGCAGCCUUAGAGAAGAAAUGGCUAGGCACAAAGGCUGCUUGUAGGCUGAGCUCUCUGGCCUUCUGCACCUGUGCCAGGAGCUGAUAAAGUUGCUGUGAGUCUCUGUGGACAGAAACAGAAAUGGCCUCCUUCGGUGUGUAAUUAAGGACUCAUGUAUGUGUAGGUUGCCCAGACCUCCAAGGCAUAUGAAGGCUGCACUCUAAUGGAGAGAUAAACUCCAUUUGUCUGUUUAUAGAAUGGUGGGGGUAAGGGGCAGCGGCAAUUCAAGCGCAUCUUAAAGGUAUACUCUUUGAGGAAGUCUGCAGCAUUUGCGAUGAGGGAUGUCUGUGGUACCAAGGGCAGUGGGAGAAGACGGGUCAGGCGGAACUGCGAUAGACACAGACAAGCAGCUGCCCAUGAGCUGGAACUCAGUGACAGUGAUGAUUCAGAGCUGUCACCCAUGGCAACAACCUUCCCUGACCAUUGACCAAUAAUUGAUGUGUGUUUCCCCCAAGGAAAGUCCUGACUUGAGGUAUGGAGGUUUUCUCUCGGAGCCACCAGCCUCCUGCCUGAAGAGCUGGGCAGCCUUUGUCAGCAUGCUCUACAGAGGGCACUCAGAAAACAUGUAUCGCUGUGGAUGGCUUCUCAAUGACAAGAAGCAAGAUUCCUGAGAUUUUUGUCCUUUGAGAAACUCUACAGCUUUUCCCAGUGGGGCAGUUCUGCUCUCCAGAAGACACCUGCUGUGACGAGCCAAAAACAGCUGGCAGGCCACAGAGGAAGCUGGCACUCGCUCAGCAAAGAACCAAACCCAAACCAGACCUUGCCUACAGUUGGAUGGCAAAGUUCCCAGAUGGGCAGCUUGAAAUAAAGAGAUGUGAGGU
rnacentral:lncRNA from 1 species